CGGAAAGUUGGUCAAACCCGGUCAUUUAGAGAAAAGUAAAAGUCGAACAAGG
rnacentral:rRNA from 1 species